UACAGAGGAGCCAAGCGUUGUCCGGAUUGACUGGGCGUAAAGCGCACGCAGGCGGAUGCGCGCGUGGGGUGUGAAAUCUGGCCGCUUAACGGCCAGGCGCCAUCCCAUACGGCGUGUCUGGAGGGCUGCAGAGGUCGAUGGAAUUGCCGGUGUAGUGGUGAAAUGCGUAGAGAUCGGCAGGAACACCAGUGGCGAAGGCGACUUCCUGGCCUGUUCUUGACGCUGAGGCGCGAAAGCUAGGGUAGCAAACGGG
rnacentral:rRNA from 1 species